rnacentral:lncRNA from 1 species
AUUGCAAACACGAAGCUCUUCCAGAAACGCCCUCACAGACACCCCGGAAGUCACGUACCCACUCUGUAGGUGCCCCGGGGCACAGGCAAGCGGACGAGCCAGUUAUCCCUCAGAGCUCCUGCUGCCUCGCCCGCUUUCUCUCGGAAACGUGAAGUGUGGCCUCAGCUGAAAGUGAGGUGGGCCUCAUUCAAUCAGUUGAAUUCUUCAAGAGAGAAAAACUGAAGUCCCUUAGAAGGAAAGAGUUCUGCCUUCAGACUGUCUUUGAACUUAAGACUGUAGCGUCGACUCCUGCCGGAAUUUCCAGCCUGCUGGCCAGCUCUGCAGAUUCACACUUGCCAGCCUCCACAAUCGCAGCUGAGGCGGAGGAACCCUAAGGGCUCAUUGAGAUCAUGGAUUUGCCCUUCUAUGCAUUGAUGGAGCACCUGCUGCCCACAGCGUCUGUAUUUGGUGCUGGGAUGCUGAGCCUCCUUCUUUAUGAAUUUUUAAAAGGACACUGAGAUCUUCAAACAGAGGCUGCCACUCUAAGCAAACAGAUCCCGAGCCCUGGACUCUGAAGCUUGGGCCCAGUUCUCCUUUUCUCCGGGUUUCAGAUCCCACUGUGAAGUGAGGGGGCCCUUCUGAUUCAGGACCCGGGGAAGCCAGGGGCAUGAGCAUCGGUGCCUCUUCUCUAUUUCAAGGACCCUUCUGGGUGUAAAGUUCUCUGAGAUGCCUUACAUGGAUUCCCACCACUGCAAGAUAACCAUCGUAUGUAAAGUGUUAUGACCAGCAGAGCGUAAUUGAAGUGCAUUCCAGAGGGAAAGACAGCGGCUCAGCUUUUUAUGCUCUCUUCAUGCCCCCUCAUGGAAGCUUCGCACACACUCUUGGUUCUGUCGCAUGGUUCCCUUUUGACAUCGGUGGCAUCAGAGGUCCACGGAGGAGCCACAGGACUGCCUGUCGGUCUAGCAUUACCUUGUGCGGCUUACCUUGUCUGUUUUGGCUCCCAAGGCUCCAGAGGGCAGGGCCCAGGGCUCAACCCUCACAUGUCUCAAGAGCUCAGUACACGGCGGAGAUUCCCGGGAAAUGCUGCAGUGAACUGGAUUGUGAGGCAAUGCACAGAACACAGCACUGCGUGGCACCUAGCAGUUAUGACGUUUAUCAUCCCGGGUUUCUACCAGUGCCAGGAGAGUCCUGGGAAAUGAGAGUCCACUGAGAGGUCAUGGGAUGGAAGGAACUCACAGACUUGGGGCACAGAUGGCUUCUCUGUGCCUGUGUCACCCCCGCCUGCAGAUCCCAUGUCCAUCCUGGUGCCCGAGAGUCCCCAUCCUGCAUGCAUGGCUUUGAACCUGCUCUGGGCUAGGAAUGUCAGGCAGUGCGUCUGAGCUUCAGCCUCUCCAUCCAUAAAACAGGAAUAACAUUACUGCCUAUCAGGAUUUCAUGAGGAUUAAAUAAGGCUGAAUGAGAAAGAGGCAUAUAAACUUGAUUUUUACAUGCCUUGGAAUAUAAAUGCUUCUUAAAAAUUUCAGUGAUGCCUUUUACAAUUCUGAAAAGUUAGUAUAAAAAGUUUGCCUGCCCUGCCUUUCUCCUGAGACUGCAUGUGAAAAUCAAAUACAACAACGAAA